CGGCAACUUUCUGCCCGCGGCAGCUGCUCAUUCACGCGUUUCUUAUAAGCCCAGGAGCCAAUCAGAGGCUGCGUCGGGAGGAAGUUGGAGCGCGGACAUGCCCCCUCUACGGUGUCCUUGCAAAGUGUGGCAGUCACUACAGGUUUGAGGAAGGCUCUGUCGCUGCUCUGGCCGUAGGCACAGCGGACUCUGGAGGACACUGGAAAUAAUAACUUUUUAUUGGAGAAACGUGUGGAUAUCACCUGAAAAAUUCUUUCAGCUCAAUGUGAGGUAACAAAGGCCCCAGUGAAGGAAUGCUAGAGCAUGUGAAAGCGGAGGACGCAUCCUCGAAGGACACCCGAGGAUGUCUAAAAGAAGCUCAGCGGGAAAGCUGAGCGCUCAGAAGAACGAGGGAGAUGAACAAACCGUGUGGAUGCCCUCAAGAUGUGUACAACUAUAGAACAGGAGAUGGGUACGACCAUAGAACAGGAGAUGGGAGGGUCCAACCAUGGACCGGGUUCCG
rnacentral:lncRNA from 1 species